rnacentral:tRNA from 2 species
GGAGGAGUGGCCGAGUGGUCUAUGGCAGCGGUUUUGAAAACCGCCGUAGGGAAACCUGCCGGGGGUUCGAAUCCCUCCUCCUCCU